CCACGGGUGGCAGCAGUGGGGAAUAUUGGACAAUGGGCGAAAGCCUGAUCCAGCCAUGCCGCGUGUGUGAAGAAGGCCUUCGGGUUGUAAAGCACUUUCAGUGGGGAAGAAAGCCUUGGGGCUAAUACCCUCGAGGAAGGACAUCACCCACAGAAGAAGCACCGGCUAACUCCGUGCCAGCAGCCGCGGUAAUACGGAGGGUGCGAGCGUUAAUCGGAAUUACUGGGCGUAAAGCGCGCGUAGGCGGUCUGAUAAGCCGGUUGUGAAAGCCCCGGGCUCAACCUGGGAACGGCAUCCGGAACUGUCAGGCUAGAGUGCAGGAGAGGAAGGUAGAAUUCCCGGUGUAGCGGUGAAAUGCGUAGAGAGCGGGAGGAAUACCAGUGGCGAAGGCGGCCUUCUGGACUGACACUGACGCUGAGGUGCGAAAGCGUGGGUAGCAAACAGGAUUAGAUACCCUGGUAGUC
rnacentral:rRNA from 1 species